rnacentral:lncRNA from 1 species
UGUCACUAUAUGAAUUUGCUUAUAACAAUUGUUACUAGUCUAGCCUCGGUAUGGCUCUAUUCGAAGCCCUCUAUCGUAGACCUUGUCAAUCCCCGACUCAUUGGAAUAAGGUUGAGAACAUGCAUCUCCCUUGGUUAGACCAUGUCUAGGAAGUUAUCGAGAAGGUUGACGUUAUUCGGAGGCACCUCCUCACUGCUCAAAACCAUCAGAAAAGUUACACAGACAACCGAAAAUGGCUCUU